AACUAAACUUGAGCUACCCAAUUUCAACACGGUUGCAUCGGUUGGCUGUCAAACAGUGCCUCGGCGCUGGGAGGCGGUCGACACACAACACAAACACUUUUGAUGAUUUAGGAUUUUGAAUGAAGUUCAUUUUUACGAUGGAACCGACUGGUAAUGCGGUCGUCUAAAUCUAAAAAACAACUUUUGGCAACGGAUCUCUUGGUUCUCCCAUCGAUGAAGAACGCAGCGAAUUGCGAUAAGUAAUGUGAAUUGCAGAAGUGAAUCAUCGAAUCUUUGAACGCACCUUGCGCUCCCGGCAGAUCUAAUCUGGGGAGCAUGCCUGUUUGAGGGCCGCGAAUUGUUUCGAACGACAGCUUUUUUUCUUUGUGAAAAAGUUGGCGGAUCGGUAUUGAGGGUUUGCCAUUUACCAUGGCUCCCUCGAAAUGCAUUAGCGCAUCCAUUUGAUAGGCAAGACGGACGAAAGCUCGAUUUUCGCCCUCUCUUCCCUGCCGGGUUUUGAUAAUAUCAGGACUUCGGAGGCGGAGAAAGGGUUAGAGCUGGACGCAACGUUUUGCUGUUUGGAGUGCUUCUGAAACCCGCCCAUGCCU
rnacentral:rRNA from 1 species